rnacentral:rRNA from 1 species
UACGUAUGGAGCAAGCGUUAUCCGGAUUUACUGGGUGUAAAGGGAGUGUAGGUGGCCAUGCAAGUCAGAAGUGAAAAUCUGGGGCUCAACCCCGGAACUGCUUUUGAAACUGUAAGGCUAGAGUGCAGGAGGGGUGAGUGGAAUUCCUAGUGUAGCGGUGAAAUGCGUAGAUAUUAGGAGGAACACCAGUGGCGAAGGCGGCUCACUGGACUGUAACUGACACUGAGGCUCGAAAGCGUGGGGAGCAAACAGG